rnacentral:lncRNA from 1 species
GAAGAGCCGAUGAGUUUUGCGAGGCCAAAGUCGGCGACGUAAGGCUCGUAUCUGGAAUCCAGCAAGAUGUUGUUCGGCUUGAUAUCCCGGUGGAGGAUCGCUGGCACGCAGUCGUGGUGGAGGUAUGAAAGUCCUUGCGCUGCUCCUAGAGCGAUCUUGUAUCUGAUCUCCCAGUUGUUUGCCGUCUUCUUUUCUUGCAGGAAGUCCGCGAGGCUACCGUUCGGCAUGUAGUCAUACAUGAGCAGCUCGAUCGUCUUGUUGGUGCAGUAGCCCAAGAGCCUGACGAUGUUCCGGUGGCGGAUCUUUCCCAGGGUGUUGAUCUCC